rnacentral:tRNA from 1 species
UCCCUGGUGGUCUAGUUGUAGGACUUGGUAUUUUCACUACUGUGGCCCAGGUUCAAUCCCUGGCCUGGUAA